rnacentral:rRNA from 1 species
UUGGAGGGCAAGUCUGGUGCCAGCAGCCGCGGUAAUUCCAGCUCCAAUAGCGUAUAUUAAAGUUGUUGCAGUUAAAAAGCUCGUAGUUGAAUUUCGGGACCAAUUUGUUGGUCGUGCCUCGGUACGUACUGGUAUUAUUGGUUUCUACCUUCUGAAGAACCUUGAUGUCAUUAAUUUGGUGUCUUGGGGAAUCAGGACUGUUACUUUGAAAAAAUUAGAGUGUUUAAAGCAAGCAUACGCUUGAAUACAUUAGCAUGGAAUAAUGAAAUAGGACGUUUGAUUCUAUUUUGUUGGUUUCUAGGAUCGACGUAAUGAUUAAUAGGGAUAGUUGGGGGCAUUAGUAUUCAAUUGUCAGAGGUGAAAUUCUUGGAUUUAUUGAAGACUAACUACUGCGAAAGCAUUUGCCAAGGAUGUUUUCAUUAAUCAAGAACGAAAGUUAGGGGAUCGAAGACGAUCAGAUACCGUCGUAGUCUUACCAUAAACUAUGCCGACUAGGGAUCGGAUGGUGUUAAUUUUUUAAUGACUCAUUCGGCGCCUUACGGGAAACCAAAGUGUUUGGGUUC